UCCCAGAUGGCUCAACAGAUAAAGAAUCUGUCUGCAAUGCAGGAGAUGCAGGAGAUGCAGGAGACGCAGGUUCAAUUCCUGCGUUGAGAA
rnacentral:tRNA from 1 species